GAUGAACGCUGGCGGCGUGCCUAAUACAUGCAAGUCGAGCGAAUGGAUUAAGAGCUUGCUCUUAUGAAGUUAGCGGCGGACGGGUGAGUAACACGUGGGUAACCUGCCCAUAAGACUGGGAUAACUCCGGGAAACCGGGGCUAAUACCGGAUAACAUUUUGAACCGCAUGGUUCGAAAUUGAAAGGCGGCUUCGGCUGUCACUUAUGGAUUGACCCGCGUCGGAUUAGCUAGUUGGUGAGGUAACGGCUCACCAAGGCAACGAUGAGUAGCCGACCUGAGAGGGUGUUCGGCGCCACUGGGACUGAGACACGGGCGAGAGUCCGACGGGAGGCAGCAGUAGGGAAUCUUCCGCAAUGGACGAAAGUCUGACGGAGCAACGCAGCGUGAGUGAUGAAGGCUUUCGGGUCGUAAAACUCUGUUGUUAGGGAAGAACAAGUGCUAGUUGAAUAAGCUGGCACCUUGACGGUACCUAACCAGAAAGCCACGGCUAACUACGUGCCAGCAGCCGCAUAA
rnacentral:rRNA from 1 species